rnacentral:rRNA from 1 species
UACGUAGGGGGCUAGCGUUGUCCGGAAUCAUUGGGCGUAAAGAGCGCGUAGGCGGCCAGAUAAGUCCGGUGUGAAAGUCAAAGGCUCAACCUUUGAAUGCCGCUGGAAACUGUCUGGCUAGAGUCCGGGAGGGGCGAGUGGAAUUCCUGGUGUAGCGGUGAAAUGCGCAGAUAUCAGGAAGAACACCCGUGGCUAAGGCGGCUCUCUAGUACGGUACUGACGCUGAGACGCGAAAAGCGUGGGGGAGCAAACAGG